UUAUGGAAGUUGAGAGGCUGAUGGUGAAUUCACGUUACAAUCUCCCUGAGCUCCUCCUGCACGCUCCUAAAACUGAUAUCCAGUCACUGUGGAGGAAACUGGAGGAAGGAAUCCAGAGGGACCGUCAGAGAUGCAGGAGGUGACGAGGAAUUGGAACCAGGAAGAGGUGAUCGACCAGGAACCGACUGACACAAGGGUAUACUGUACUACAGCGUGACGAGCGCAAAUGCAACUAGGUCAAGAACGCCAAAUGCUUGGCUGAGUGGGGGACAGUGGCGACGACGAAGUGAGGAGAAGUGAAGAAGGGGAAAAAGAGUGAUCUGGAGGAGAGCAAGAGCAGCACUUCAAAGUGAAGGAACGGAUGAGUGAUGGUGAACACGAUAAUUAGGAAGAACCGUGAACAGAUCUGCCUGUGGGGAGCAAGGAAAGAGUUGCAUGUGCAGUGCUGCACAUUUGCUUUCAAAUUAAAUCUGAUUCCGUGUUUGUAUUUCACUUUACAUAUUUCUCACACCAAGCUACAUGUAUGUGUGUUUUUAUUUAUUUUAAAUAAAUAAUCUUGACGAUCUAAAU